GUGGAGCCUGGCCCAGGGGGCACCGUCACCACCUGCUACCGGGGGCGCCAUCGUCGAUUCCGCCUAGACUGGGUCUUCCCUCCAGACGCCAGCCAGGAGGAGGUCUUCAGAGAGCUGGAACCUGCGGUGCUGUCCUGCCUCCGGGGCUACAGCGUCUGCAUCUUCACCUAUGGCCAGACAGGGACCGGGAAGACCUACAGCAUGGAGGGCCCUCCUGAGGACCCCGGCAUAGUUCCUAGGGCGCUGCAGUCGCUGUUCCGGGAGAUGGGGGCCGGCCGGCAGCACCAGGUGACACUCAGCAUGGUGGAGAUCUACAAUGAGGCUGUCAGGGACCUCCUUGCUCCAGGGCCUCCCGAGCGCCUGGCCGUGAGGCAGGGCCCAGAAGGCCAGGGCGGGAUCCAGGUGGCUGGCCUCACCCACUGGGACGUGCCCAACCUGGAGACAUUGCACCAGAUGCUGAAACUGGGGAGGAGCAAUCGGGCCACCGCCGCCACCGCCAUGAACCAGCGCAGCUCCCGGUCGCACGCCCUGGUCACGCUGACGCUGCGCUUGGCGUCUCCACCGCGCGCUCCAGGCACCGCAGGUACCACGGUCGGUGCCUGAGCCCUGCGGAGUCUCCAGCACACCUGAGGCCCAGCCUUCCCCCAUGUCGGGCUCGCUCGCCCCUCUAGGCACGCUGCACCUGGUGGACCUUGCGGGAUCUGAACGCGCACGGAAGGCAGGGGCGGCCGGCCCGCCGCGGGGAGACCCAGACGGCGCCCGGCGCCUGCGGGAGGCCCAGACCAUAAACCGCUCGCUGCUGGCGCUAGGAGGCGUGAUGGCCGCACUGCGGGCCCACCGGCCGCACGUGCCCUUCCGCGACUCGCAGCUCACGCGACUGCUGCAGCCGGCGCUGGGCCCAGGCACCACCGCGGUGCUGCUGCUGCAGGUGGGCGCCGGGGCGGCGCAGGCGCGGGGCAGGUGUGUGCAUGCCGGUCACCGCCCACCCGCGCCUCUUGCCCGCAGAUCUCCACGCGGCCGGAGGAUCUCGGGGAGACAGUCUGCUCACUC
rnacentral:sRNA from 1 species